ACGGGAGGCAGCAGUGAGGAAUAUUGGUCAAUGGGCGAGAGCCUGAACCAGCCAAGUAGCGUGCAGGAUGACGGCCCUCCGGGUUGCAAACUGCUUUUAGUUGGGAAUAAAAAGAGGGACGUGUCCAUUAUUGUAUGUACCAUCAGAAAAAGGACCGGCUAAUUCCGUGCCAGCAGCCGCGGUAAUACGGAAGGUCCGGGCGUUAUCCGGAUUUAUUGGGUUUAAAGGGAGCGUAGGCGGGCCUUUAAGUCAGUGGUAAAAGCGUGUGGCUCAACCAUACCACGCCAUUGAAACUGGAGGCCUUGAGUGCACACGGGGAUGCUGGAAUUCGUCGUGUAGCGGUGAAAUGCUUAGAUAUGACGAAGAACUCCGAUCGCGAAGGCAGGUGUCCGGGGUGUAACCGACGCUGAGGCUCGAAAGUGCGGGUAUCAAACAGGAUUAGAUACCCUGGUA
rnacentral:rRNA from 1 species